CUGCGGAUCUUGCGCACUGAGCGCAGCCUGACUGCAGCGACGCCGCGUGUGUGAUGACGCCUUCGGGUUGUAAGCUCUGUCGGCCGGGACGAUCCGCUCGCGCUGAUACCGGUGGAUCAUGACGUACUUUGGAAGGUAAACCCCCGCGCGGAAAAAAUAU
rnacentral:rRNA from 1 species